AACGUAGGUUCCGAGCGUUAUCCGGAUUUACUGGGCGUAAAGCGCGUUCAGGCGGUUUGGCAAGUCGGGCAUGAGAUCUCUGGGCUCAACCCGGAGAGGUUGUCCGAUACUGCUAAACUGGAGGGCAGUAGAGGGUGGUGGAAUUCCGGGUGUAGUGGUGAAAUGCGUAGAGAUCCGGAGGAACACCAGUGGCGAAAGCGGCCACCUGGACUGCACCUGACGCUGAGGCGCGAAAGCUAGGGGAGCAAACAGG
rnacentral:rRNA from 1 species